rnacentral:lncRNA from 1 species
CAGCUUUGGGGUCAGAUUUGUCCCCGCAAAUCCAUCGCAGCUGGCGGGACGCAGCCCCCACCCCCCCCGCCCCCGGCCACGGCCACGGCCGCUGCGGAAAUGAAACGCAGAUGGACGGCGAGACCGAGCCCGGCCCCGGCCCCGCGGCCCGUGGGACCCCCGGCUGGGGGGCGGGAGGGGGCCCGCGUGUCCCGAGAGCUCGGCUGUGCCCCACAGCGGGACCCCGGCCCGGCCCGGGACCUUUAUACAGCGCCAGGACCUGCCCUGGGUCUGGAUUCAGCUCCAGGACCUGCCUUAGCUCUGGACCUUUACACAGCACCAGGACCUGCCCUGGUUCUGGACCCCGUUCCAGGACCUGCCCUGGUUCUGGACUCAGCUCCAGGACCUGCCCUGGUUCAGGACCUUUACACAGCACCAGGACCUACCCUGGUUCUGGACCUUUACACAGUUCCAGGACCUGCCCUGGUGCUGGACCUUUACACAGCUCCAGGACCCUUCCGUGAUUCUGGACCCAGUUCCAGGACCCUGCCCUGGGUCUGGACUCAGUUCCAGGACCUGCCCUGGUUCUGGACCUCUACACAGCUCCAGGACCUGCCCUGUCCUGGGACUUCUCCUCAGUUCCAGGACCCUGCCAUGGUUCCAGACCCAGUUCCAGGACCCUGCCCUGGUUCUGGACCCUUACACAAUUCCAGGACCCUGCCCUGGUUCCGGACCCAGUUCCAGGACCCUGCCCUGGUUCUGGACCUUUACACAGCACCAGGACCUGCCCUGGUUCCGGACCCAGUUCCAGGACCUGCCCUGGUUCUGGACCUUUACACAGCACCAGGACCGUUCCGUGAUGCUGGACUUUACACACCGCCAGGACCUGCCCUGGCUCUGGAUUCAGCUCCAGGACCCUGCCCUGAUUCUGGACCUUACACACUUCCAGGACCUGCCCUGGCCCAGGACCUCUACUCAGCUCCAGACCCCUGCCAUGGAUUUGGACCCCUGCUCAGCUCCAGGACCCUUCUGUGAUUCUGGACCCAGCUCCAGGACCCUCCCCUGGUUCUGGACCUUUACACAAUUCCAGGACCCUGCCCUGAUUCAGGACCCAGUUCCAGGACCCUGCCCUGGUUCCAGACCCUUACACAGCUCCAGGACCUGCCCUGGUUCCGGACCCUGAUCCAGCCCAGCCCCACGCGGAGGGACCCCGGGGUGAGUUGCAGCGCUGCCCCGGGA